UCUCCCCCUCCCAACCACCCUCCAAAGAGCAAAAGCCCAUUUGGGAGGAAGUAGGGAUAAAAAGAGGCUUCCACUCUUUGGGGGAAAGGUCAGGAUUAAGGUGAAAAAUCAGAACGGAGAUUGGUGGAAGGCAGCUUUAACCACCACCAGCAGUUCCCACCCACCCUCUGGAAGCAGCAGUUCAAACUUAAGAAAUGCACAAGCUGGCACAAAGCAUCGAGAUGCCAAGAGCACUUGGGGACACUGGUCUCCUUCCCAGCCUUGUGCCCUGGAUUCUGUCCUCUGCCCAGUAUGUACAGGCAAUACUUUAUGUCUAGUGGUCUUCUUCCUGUUGGGGUCAUCUGUACUCACACUCUGUGACCCCCCAGCACUGUUCAGUAGGAGGGUCCAAGAAGAUCUAAGAUGGCAGAUACGUUCAUAGCCCUCAGGCUGUGUCUGUGUCUAUAUCCAGGGCACCAAGGUUGCCAUCCACAAAAGUUUCAAAGCUAAAGUUAAUGUAUGGGGGAGGAUACUUUCCCUCAGGACAAAGGGACUUUCUCUCCCAUAUUUGCCUUUGUGUAAUUUUUUUAAAUCCCUGGUUUAAAAAAAAAAAAAUCCCUAAAGAUGGAGGGAGAAGAAGUAAAGACUACCACUGAGAUUAUAUUCGGUUUAUGGUCCCUAGAGGGGGGAAAUAAUGUAUUCUAUUGUGAGGAGACUAUGAUAGGCCCAACUUUACAAUGUUGUAAUUUACUGGAGGGAGGAGACACAAAACUCAGAGCCACAAGCAAUUUGGUGGGAAACUAGGCCUCAGAGCUGAAAACGAAAAGUCGAUCUGGGGGAAGAUUUUUAAAUAAGUGGGUCAGAGGGACCAAGAGGAGAUGAGGCGAUCAAUCUUAGCCCCCUGACAGCUCCCUCCGAUUGCAUCAAAGAAUUUGGCUCUUUGGGAAAGCAGAGGGAACAGCCUAAAUUCCACAUCCCUUAAAAAGGCCUGAGGGAGGGGCAGCAGAAGAGAAAGGUGAUUCUGGGAGGGCCAGGAAACAGAUGGGAAAUGGAGACAGAGGGAAGGCGCUAACUUGGGUGGAAAGUUUGCCCCGGAGAACUCCCACGGCUCUGGAGAGAAUUCCCCUCCCCCUCUUCGCUCUCCGCCGCCCAGCCUGGAGGAGAAGGCUGGUUAGCAGAGAAAUGGCAAGUCAGCGGAGAGCUGGAACUAGAAACUUUCUGUCAAUGUAACCUCCGCGUGGGUGGUGACCCAAUGGUGGUUGGGCUUCGGGUCACGUGACAGCCUCCUUGUAGCUCCGGAAGAGAACCGUGAAGUUUAGGUUGCCUGGAAGAAGCAGAGAAUGAAAGGGAGGAAAAAAAAAUCAAGAUUUGGGGGAAUUGCCCACAGAGAUGGAAGUACUGGAGCCCUGGGACUGAUGUGGUCGCCUCCAAUCUGCUGUGGGUUCCUUUCCAAGGGUGUGGGCGGGCAGAUGGAACCAGGCAUGGAGGACUCAGGCCAGUGAGAGGGGAAGGCGCCCCAGGCCUGUCUUGUUUCUGGAAGCCUGCAACCACCCCCCAACACGCACCUCUUCCAGGCCACCAGACUGCCCCCACCAGCAGCUCCACCACCUCCCUGGCCCUUGAUCUCGCCCCCCACCCCCCACCCGCCCCUCACAUCACAGGUGUGUCAAUUUGGGCGCUUCUUGGAUUCUACCCUGAGGUGGUGCGUGGUGAGAGGAGAGGUCUGUGUAAGUGGGGUGAGGAUCACAGGGUCCGUGAUGCUGGCUGGGGGCCAUAGGGGGCGCCCCGUUGUAGUCCAGGUUCCCCGAGGGGUGGUGGGAAAGGUGAUUGAGGCCGUAGAGGGAGGGGCCGGCAGGGGGCGGCAGCGGAUCCGCAUAGCCACCCCCGCCCACGUACACCGGGCUGCCCUGCAUGGUGGGCGUCCCGUAGGCGCCCCCGUUGGCUUGGAGGACGUGGGGCUCGUACUCGGGCGCCGGGGUCGGGGGGUACUUCUGCGGGGCGCCGCAACCUUUAAGGGGGGGCUGGUAGUUGGAGGGCAGCGCGUAGGCAUUCUGGUGGCCUUUGCCGAAGGCUGGCGGGGACGGGCUGUCAUAGCUGGGAGUCAUGGAGUGUAAGGCGUUCAUGAAGCCGGCGGUGGACUGCAUGGGCUGUGGGGGGCUGCCGGCCGGAGAGGGACCCCCAGACGACGAGGCCAGCCCCUUGGCCUUCUGGUCUUUCUUGUAUUUCAUGCGGCGGUUCUGGAACCAGAUCUUGAUCUGGCGCUCGCUGAGGUUCAGCAGAUUGGCCAUCUCCACGCGGCGCGGCCGGCACAAGUAGCGGUUGAAGUGGAACUCUUUCUCCAGCUCAACGAGCUGCGCGCUUGUGUACGCCGUCCGUGCCCGCUUGGACGCCGCCGACCCCGGGGGGCUCUUGUCCCCUCCCCCGCCGCCACUGCCGCCCCCGCCGCUGCUCCCGCCGCCGCUGCCGCCGCCGCCGCCGCCGCCGCCACAACCUUCUGCUGGACCCGAGGGGGAGGAGUGGGAAGGGGAGAAAAUGAAAUAAAAGAUAAUUACUGAA